GACGAUCACAAUGGAUCCCGACAGGUAUUUUCAGUUGAUUUCUGCUUUAUGUUACCUGAUGAUUGCUUAAUUUUCAUGAUACUGCAAUUUCUUCUCAUUCCGCUCCAUGAGUUAAUCAGUUUCAUAACGUUUGAAGUUUAUUGGGAGAUGAAACCGAUUCAAAUUGGUCUUUUCUUUGGGAUUACCAUGCUUGCUAAAAGCUUUAUCCCCGUUGGUACUAGAAAUUAUCUUCUAGUUUUUUGUCAAGUUGGAUCUUUUUGAAAGAAAAUUACGUUUUCUCUUGUACAGAGAAUCGGCCAUAGUUCCUGUGGUUUCUUCCCAUUGAUCGGUUUUAUGUCGUGUAUCUUCGAAAUUAAAGAAAAGAAAUGAGAUUUGACGUCGUUUGGAACAAGUUUGCAUUGUUCUCAUGCCAGGUUUAGCUCCUGGUUAAUCCCCCAUGGAGUCUGCUGAAUGUUCUUAUCAUACCUUUGCUUGAAUAUGUGCUCCGUAUCUUUCAUUGAACUGCAUUUUUCUCAGGAUCCAAAUUCGAAGCAUUUAGGAACCGGAUGCAUCAAUGGUGUUUGCCAAAUAUCUGUGUCUUGUUCAGAUAGAUAUCAGACUUGAAGAAGAGUUCGGAUGAGCAUUCAGGCGGUCUUAUAUCGUUCACACGCAUAUGAAAUCCAACGUUAGUAUUGUUCUGACAAAGGAGACGCAAAGCACGAGUAAAAAUUUAAAUCUGGAAAAAAAGAACGUAAUUGAAACAAACAAGAAUUUGUGUGUAUGUAUAUAUAUAAAAAGAGGGCAAAAAAAUCAAGCUAAUAAUCCUCAGAAACUGACGGAAGCCAAACUGUCUUG